rnacentral:snoRNA from 1 species
AGCACGUGUUCAGUUUUUGUCUGUUGUUGUAGACAAAAACCUGGAACCUAGUGCUUAGAAAAAAACCCUUCUUCUGCAACCCACAGCUGAUGAACAUAUUAGUUGUGUUACAUAUAUGAAGGGACAAU